GCAGUGUAGGACAAAAAGUAAAACUGACACAACUCACAUGACGUUGAUUGCGUUUGGAUGCCAUGAGGACAAUUUUUAAACAUAUAUAGCCUAUAUACUCAUUUCUAAGCCUAUGAAUAAUUGAAAAACAUAUAUACAGCUAGCACUGUGUGGACAGCUGAAGUAUUCAUGUAGUGUGAGAGAUUUUCAAAGCAAAAAUCAGAUGUUUUUUUUUUAGUUAAAACAUUUCUAUUUUUCAUUUUGUCAUCUGGAUUUAAAUUAAUUUCUUAUAGAUUUUUUUUUCCAUAUUAUUUUCCAAACGAUUACACCUUCCCAAUGUAGAAGCUGGAAUUUACGAGGUACUGUCAAAUGCAACAUUAAUUUAGCUUCCACUUUAACCAAACAAACGAGACCGGGGGAUUAAGGAGUCGAAACAUCCCUCUAGCGGCCAGCAGCUCCAGCGGUUGGGUGUAGCUCCACGGAGAAGAAGAGGCUGUGCUCGGAUUAGGGGGUUGGGCUGCCUUUGCUUGACGGAAAACCCGCUGCCAGACAUCCAGCUUGUCCUCGGCGGCGCAGUGUUGCUUUCCCGCAGCAUCAGCAGCAGCGACACCGCAGCGCGGCUUCACCUGCUCCCCAGAGCUCCAUCCCCUGGUCCGCACUCAGCGCUGCCGCAGACCAGAGCAGGCGGACGGACAAGGACGAACAGCUGGAAGAGCAGCUCUUGAGGGAAAUAAAGGGAUACAGCAAAGCUGACGAUGGUGAAACUGGGGAGUAAUCUUCAGGACAAAGGGGCCAAAGCUGUGAGUGUUGAGGACGGCUUUCAGAAUGUGCCCCUCAUCACUCCUCUGGAUGUUGGCAGCCUCCAGAGCCAAGCACCUGACAAGGUGAGACACGUACAGCCCACCAGCUCUGUGGGUUUUAUCUGUGUUUGUGUAUGAGGGACAGCAGAGCCGGCCUGAGGUACACGCAAACUUGGUGACAUCUAUGGAACUUCAGGAAAGAUGCAAGUUGAUGUUUACAAAUAAAGUAGCUGAAACAAAUAAAGCAAAAACACUGUCAGUAGAGGAGAUGCUGUGGAGUUUUUCCCAAUAACUUCAAAGAAAGAAAAAAAAAAUCAGUCUUAUUCUUCACAGAGGUGUUAAAUCUGACUAAAAAAAGGAAUAAAAUUCUCUUAAGUUAUGCACUGAAGCAUAUGUUCAGUGUCCCUAUAUGUUGUGAUUUGAGUCAGCUACAUGAUCUUGGUUGAUACAUUUAAGAAUGAAUAGAAAGUAAUUUGAGUUUUUACUUUUGUUGCAUUCAACAAAGGGGGCAACACUUACAGAUCAGAGCCAAUCAGGAGAUAAUUGUCUAAUUCUGACUAUUAUUCUGACAUUUGCCUGGACAUUUUCCCCCACAUCAUCUACCCUCUAUUAAUCAGCUGGUUGUCUGUACUUUGCUUUGUACCAGGAGUCUAAACCUUUGGCUAGAGAAACAAGGCGUGGAAUCUGUUGAACCUUUAAAUUACUGGAUCUGAUUUUACCCAGUCACUAACAUUUGGGGUUGAUGUAUGCAGUGUGCCAGCUCAAUUGUUAGGAAAGAUAUGCUAUAAAGCUUAGCAGAAAUUGAGUGUGAAAAGAAUUUGUUUUAUGACACCCUUUGUUUAAAAAGUAUUUAUGGAAAUAACCAUAAUCUACAAAUUAUUUGUGCUCAUCAACUGCAAGUACUAUUAUUUUUUUUCUGAUUCUAAUUGGAUUUAUUUUAGCUAUUCAUAUUACCUACAUAUAUGUGAUUAAAACAGAAUGAAGAAACACUGAUUUGGACAGCUGCAGAAAGUCUGCACAUGAUUCCUAAAAAAUAUAUUUUCAAUAUUAACAACCACUUCCUCCAUUUAUUGUCAGCUAAAGGUUCUCCUGUACCUUCGGCCAACAAGAAAAGCUGACAAACCAGAUAAUUUGCCAGGAAAACCUUGUCCACCUUGUUUGAUUAGAAAAAGAUCAGUGACUGGAACCAAAUAUGACUAACGUUAAGACACAUGAACAUAUACAGUCAGCUAAUUUAAAGUCAAUUAUACUGGAAAAAAAAUAUGUUGACAAAUUUAUUAAGCCAAUAUCAUAUCUUACCCAUUAAUGUUAUUUAUUUUUUAAGAAAACUCAAGAAAAAAUAUAACAUAGUGAACGCCAUUGGCUGACACGUUUUUAUAGCAAAAAUGUUGGAGUUUCAUUAUGCACUUAACAGGAAAA